rnacentral:rRNA from 1 species
GAUGAACGCUGGCGGCGUGCCUCAAACAUGCAAGUCGAGCGGGGCUAUGUAAUAUCGCAAGGUAGAACAUAGCCUAGCGGCGAACGGGUGAGUAACACGUGGGUAACCUGCCUGGAAGACAGGGAUAACGAUUCGAAAGGGUCGCUAAUACCUGAUAAUAUCCUUUCAUCGCAUGGUGAUAGGAAGAAAGGGGAAACCCGCUUUCAGAUGGGCCCGCGUCCCAUCAGCUAGUUGGUAAGGUAAAGGCUUACCAAGGCGACGACGGGUAGCCGGUCUGAGAGGAUGUACGGCCACACUGGGACUGAGAUACGGCCCAGACUCCUACGGGAGGCAGCAGUGGGGAAUUUUGGACAAAUGGACGAAAGUCUGAUCCAGCAAUGCCGCGUGCAGGACGAAAGGCCUUCGGGUUGUAAACUAGCUUUUGUACAGAACGAAAAGUACUUAAUAAACACUAGAAGGUCAUACGGUACUGUAAGAAUAAAGACACCGGCUAACUAACGUUGCCAGCAGCCGAC